GACAGAGGGUGCAAACGUUGUUCGGAAUUACUGGGCGUAAAGCGCACGUAGGCGGCUUUGCAAGUCGGAUGUGAAAUCCCGUGGCUCAACCAUGGACGUGCAUUCGAAACUGCGAAGCUUGAGUAUGGAAGAGGGUCGCGGAAUUCCCGGUGUAGAGGUGAAAUUCGUAGAUAUCGGGAGGAACACCAGUGGCGAAGGCGGCGACCUGGGCCAAUACUGACGCUGAGGUGCGAAAGCGUGGGGAGCAAACAGG
rnacentral:rRNA from 1 species